GCUUUUGCGGUUGGAUUUUGAGAAAUACAGCUCACAUAUUCUCCCCUCCUACUUUAUCUGGAAUGCAGCAUAAGCAGUGUGUCUGCUUCCUUUCAUGAUGUAAUGUGCUCAUGCUUGUUACACUUAUGGUACAUAUCUCUCUAACAUCAUCUAUCACUCAUUGCCUGACCUCACUGGAGUGCCCCUGAGUUAUUCAAUGUUCUUUCAUGAUGUUGGAGGAAAGCUGUCGCUUAUCUGCAGGGUUGAAAAGUUAUGGAGCAUAAAGUCCUCUGUCUGAAAUUGAUAAAGCCUGGAGGACUGUGUUUCCCAUCAGGGCACAAAGCUUAUCAGCACAACCAGCCUGGAGUGAUCGCCUGCAAUGCUGUGCUCUGAGGACCAAGACCAACCCAGGAAUCCAGCCAAGGGAACAUUCUCCCUGGAGACUCUGUUGAUGUGACUGAACUGGAGGCUGUUCUUUAUUAAAUGUAGGAAUCCUGCUGUGGUUUAGGAAGUUUUCAAAAUAGUUUACUUCCUAAGAGUCAAAACAUGUCGAACUGUUGCUUCUGUAGAGUUAGCACUUUAAACUGACAUUAAAAGAGGGUUGAAGUUGGAGUUUGAGGUAGAGGGCUGCAUUGGGAUUUGGUCUCACGGGAGUGGGCGGUUUUAUCUUUGCUGCUGGCAGGAGUAGGCGGUCAAAAAAUAUAGCGCAGGUCUCGGGAAUUGUUAUAAGAAUGAUGGAGUCAACAAAUGAAGUUGAGAAGAAAAUUAAAGAUGCUGUUUUCCUUACAAAAGCAAAGCAAGGGUGGUGCUCCCUCUCUCUCUGGUUGGUCUCUUGGUAUUCCCAUCGCUGGCUGACAGAAUGGGAUCCAGCUGCUGAGGAGUUGGAGAAGGAAGUCUGGUUGUGGAUCUCUCCAUUGGGAUGACAGCCGUGGGAUUUGUCCAUAUGGAUGGUGAUUACAUACAUGUAUACAUCUAAAGCAAACAUUUCUGUCUGAAAAUAGAAAUGUCUGACAGUGAAUGAGAGCAUACUUUAAAACGGUGCAUUUAGAAAUGAAGGGUAAACAAAUGUAAUGAAAUUUUCCCAGAACUUCUGCAUAUAAUCUCCCUCGUCCCACUGCAGUAGGAGCAGCUGGUCAUCUUCAGCAAAUGUUGCCAUGCUAUAAAUGGCAACCCAGACAGCUGAAUUAUGGCGUAACCCACUUCUUUUUCUGCAAUAUAGUCUUUUUAUAAGACUAGCGAUCAUAGCUUGGUUCACAAACAGGAAAUGCAUACAGGGUUUUUGUCUUGCUCUGCUUAUCCAUUUCACUGAUUAAUGUUUUGCCUCUUUAUGAACUAACAAUGUAUUUUGCAGUACACUGUAAAAUGCAGUUGAUUUAUUUAAAGGACUUCUCGUUUGUCUCCAUAACUGAAUUCAGCAUUUAUAUGUGAUUACAUAAAAAUGAAAAGUAGUCUUGGAAUUAUUUGAAUGUUCUGGGUUCAGCCUUCUUAUCAUUUCCAAUUUAUUGUUGCAGAAAAGAAUGCAUUACAUGCUAAAGAUGUCAAAUUUACAUUCUUUAACAUUUCUUCAAGGGUGAGUGAAUUUAUUUAUUUUUUUUAAGAUUGUUUUGUCUUAUUUUCAAUCAUUGUAUGUCCUCUUGAGGCACCCUUGGAAGUUUCUGAGUCCCUAUGGUUCAGAACCACUCUACUAUCUCUGGUGCAUGACCGGUGCUGCUCAGCCAAUGAAAUGAGAGAAUAAUGGAAUUCUGCCUCAUCCACGUCACCCAUUGAUUAUAUAAUUCCUCUGAUACACUAUGACCAUGCUAAAUAAGAUGUUGUAGACCCUUUGUUCCAGAGCAGUUUGUUUCUGUCAGACUAAAAAGGUUAGGUGAUGUAGAAUUGAUUCAUGUUCAACAAAGGCUAUGCCAGUUUCUGUCAACAUGAACAUGUCAGAUUACCAGCCAUACAUGUUGCAGCAGUGUUUCAGAAUGCUACACAAUCUAAAUGUUAGAGCUGACAUUGUGCGUGCACUGUAGCUGACUCCAACACUCAGAAACGCAGUGUUCCAAGGGCAUUGGUGGCGGCAGCGGCUGUUACCCUGUCAGUGAAUAUGAUAUGUACUCAGACUGACAGCCUCUGAAAGGCUUAAUGGAAUUCUGCUAGCUAACCAUGCAAGCCAACAGUCUAUUUCCUCCCCCAAUGACGGCUGAAUGAUAUGACAUUGCAUUACUUGCUACACAGAAAAGACUCAAUCAUCGUUAGGUUACAAAAUACAUACAUCAGAAAGACUGAGAAAUACUCUUAGUAGCUUAUGAGCCUAAGCUGAAGACGUGCUCCACUUUGAUCUGGAGAGGAAUGGUGUAACAGCUUUCACAGAAACCAUCUAUAAUAAAAACACAAUGAGCUGGUUGGAGCUUCUCUGC
ensembl:lncRNA